rnacentral:pre_miRNA from 1 species
GAAGGUAAAGAAGUUACACUGGGUCUCCCACAUCUCUGGUGAGAUUUUUAGCUACAGAGAUGCUGGGUGAAACAGUGUAUCUUCAUAUCAGU